rnacentral:tRNA from 1 species
GCAUUGGUGGUGUAACGGUUAGCAUGGUUGCCUUCCAAGCAGUCGAUCCGGAUUCAACUCCCGGCCAAUGCA